rnacentral:lncRNA from 1 species
UGCAUUUCCGGUUUGUUUUCGCUUGAAAAAGCCUAGCCAGAAAGUUUUAAAAAGAUUUAAAAGCUUGCAGUCUGAAGUUUUUCAGUUUGAAGUAGUUUGAAAUUGAAAAUAGUUUUAAAGAUUAAAGUCUGAAUGUUUUCAAGGCAAUACAGUCAAUCAGAAAAAUAGAUAGGUAUAAAACAUACUGCUAGGGUAUCUGGGGUGGUUGAUAGGGUGAUUCUAGCAUGACUAGCAUGUUGCUAACAUGUUUUAGCAUUAUCAACAUGUUACCAGCAUGUUACUAACAUAGAUAGAUAGAUAGAUAGAUAGAUAGAUAAGAAGCUUAAAUGAGUUUAAAUGGGUUGGAAAUAGUACAUAGAAGGGAAGUUUGAUUGAGUCUAAUGGGCUGCAGUGUGUUUAGAUUUUAAUUUUAACAGUAGGAGUUUGAAUAGUCUUGGCUCAUUUGAACAUUCCGUCAAUGUAAAUCUAUGGGAUUUUUAUGAUUUUUAUCUGCAGUUUUAAGAAAACCGUAAGUCUGAUCAGUCUGAAAAUAUAUAGCAACCAGAGUCAGAACAGUCUGAAGAGCUGGGCUAAAUUUGGUGGUUUUAUCUUGAAAGCUCUAGGAGGGAGAGAGCGUUCAGAAAUUUAGUCUAAGAAUAAUAAUAAUAAGAAGAAGAAGAAGAAGCUUAAAUAGAAUAUCAGUAAGCUUUUUCAAGCCAACUUGAUAUGUACUUCAAACGGAGUGCACCACGCGCGCCGCUUUUACGCAUAACUGCGCAUGUCCGUUGUUGGAUGAGCGCGUGAUGUAGAAACAGGUCGGAUCAUCACAUCAGAUCCCCUACCAUCAUUAUGUCUUCAGCAUCUCCGGACACUUAAAGGCUGUACAUGUUGGACAGAUUUCAGCUCUCUGCAACUUUAUCCGCACAGCAGCUGACAGGCUUCAAGCCAGAGUUGUGCCAAAUGAAGCUGCCUCAAGCUAGACUUCUCCUCUGGAUGUGUGUACUGAACAGAGUCCUGGACUCAGCAGCAGCAGCACUGUCAGUCACCCAGUGUGUGAUCAUGCAGUACACCAACAUCACCUGUUACUGGGAAACAACCGGCCACCACCUGAACAUCAGCAGCUACAGGCUUCAGGUUAACAAAACCUCUUGUGAAAGCAAACACAGCUUCAUCUCGGUGGGUUCCUGUAAUACCAGUGGCUCUGACUGCUCCGUUCAGCCCAUCGAUUCAGCGUUACACUGUUUCUGUGCGGAUGUGCUGGCGUCCACACGCACCGGAUCCAUACGCUCACCACCGUACUUCUUCAGUGGGGUCAGUGCAGUGAAACUUCGUCCUCCACAGAUAACAUAUCUCAGGCCAUUAGAAGGAAGGUCUGGGUGUUUGCAGGUGACCUGGAGAAUGGUUGAGAGCUUUCCCAAGAAUGAAAAAGUCUACAUACUGCUCCAAAUGGAGUACACGACACACAACCAGACCCGAUCCCAGACUAUACAAGCCUUUUCCAAGGAGACACUGGAACUGUGUGACUUGCACCCAGGAUCCAAGUAUACGGUGAGACUGAGAGCUCAGGACAGACGAGCGCACGCUCACUGGAGCUCAUGGACAUCUUUAGACACAACCACAGCAGAGAAAGCUCCGUCUGCAGCUCCUCAGCUUCUGGAGACUCAUCCAACCUGCUGAAGAAGCUGGAAGGAGAAGCCUCACCCUGCUCUGGAAGGUCUGCUUAUGUUCUUUAGAAAACUGUUUCCAAAUAUGCACAAUGAGGAUGUGAUUCAUAGGAUGGUAGAACGACUGGAGCCAACAGAAAAACAGGAAUCUCUUUAUGCCAACUGCAGCCUUCGUAGUUCUGUUAUAUUGGUUCAGCUUAAUAUUAAGAUGACUCACGUAAAAUUCAUUGAAUUGAGAAUUUUAUCCCAGACUUUGUCAUCUUGCCAAGUUUGAGCAUGGUCUAUUUCACUGGGGAUUUUUUCAUAGGAGAAGCAUUUGUAUUUAAUGUUAUUGAGAUGUCGUAAGGGGAAGUAGUGGCCUAGUGGUUAGAGAGUUUGACUCCUAACCCUAAGGUUGUGGGUUUGAGUCUCGGGCCGGCAAUACCACGACUGAGGUGCCCUUGAGCAAGGCACCAAACCCCCAACUGCUCCCCGGGCGCCGCAGCAUAAAUGGGUGCCCACUGCUCCGGGUGUGUGUUCACUGCUGUGUGUUUGUGUUCACUGCUGUGUGUGUGCACUUUGGAUGGGUUAAAUGCAGAGCACGAAUUAGGGUAUGGGUCACCAUACUUGGCUGUAUGUCACGUCACUUUCACUUUCAUGUCAAAGUGAUCUAAUUUGUGACUUUUCUUUUCUUUGAGAUGGCACAGUCAGAGUGUAUUCACUGGAAAAUAUAUUAAAACUAUACAAUGACUUGACCAUCAAUAUUUAAUUAAUGUUUAAUGUAAGUUUCCACCUGCUAUACGAACAAAAACAAAGCAAAAAGAUGAACAUAGACAUGUAAACACAUCCGUCACAGACAUUAAAGAUUUUUUUUUAGGCUUGUGGCUCCAGGCGCUUCCUGUUUUAAUAACACUCUUUGAGAUUUUCCUCAGUCAGCUUAAAUCUGACAAACAGCACGACCACAUCCUGCCUCCCCACCCACUCCACACUUAUCAACCACCUGAAUGUAGCACAUUUAGCACCUGAUUUACCUAUCUGUUAUUUUGGAGGAUGGCUAGUAUUUUACAUAGCAGUCUGCAGCCUUGAAAAACAUGACAUUAAAGGAACCCGAUGAUGGCGAGGAGAGCUUGAUGUCUGUAACUCCGUCCGAAUGUUUAGACUAUAGAUUCCAGACUGCUUCUUAUAGUAAUGGAAGGGAUCUCAACUCAAUUGCAGAGUCUAGAUGAGCUGAACAAUAAAACUUGGCACACGUUUUGCUGAACAAAAUCUGUAAAUGCUACUAAACUAAUGAUUACAAACUUUUAAGGCAUAAAAGACACAUAUCUACUGAAAAAUGGAAAGUAAGAUGUGUCUGUGAAAGUUUUCCUUUCUUGCUCCCCUUUUUUGUCCAGAUGUGUUUCUCGUCUCUUUCUCCUUCUCCCUUGAGUCAGCCUCUGUGAUUCAUUUUCCACAGACAUCUUGAGCCCCCCCCACCCCCAUCCUCCCCUUUCUCACUCUCUUUUUCUCUCACUCCUGCAGUGCCUCAGCCUGCCUGUCAGGUCUGGAAAAAACACAGACGAAGGAAGGAGUGGAAUCCUGUGGCCUGAAGCUACACGCAAACACACAGAGAAUGGUGGGACGUCGUUUCUCUCUGCCCCUCCUGAUCAGGGCCUGUGGUGGUCAGUGGGCAGCAAACACAAUCAGCCAGGGGUUUUUACGGGACCCUGAAGGUGCAAGACCCUUAUUCUAGGGGUGUGUGUUCCAGACUUGAUGAAGAAGGAGGAGUUUAUGGGUUAAUGACAGUCUCUGAAGGUAAUACUGUUUCAAGAACCCCUCCUUCAAAUGGCGUCUCUGCUCCGCCCAUUUCUGAACUUUCACAC